UUUCUUAACUUUGAAAUAAUACUUCAAUCAAUAGUUAUUACUUGAGAUCAAGACAUAAUAUAGAAAAUAACACAAUACGAUAAUAUAUAAUUAUGUUCCUUAUAAGUGUAUAUGAGUAUCUGUGUAUACUAAAAACACUUGCUAUGACUGUCGUUUCAAAUAUUGUCAGGAAGCCGAUGCAAUCAACAAUUGUUCGACCACAGCUAUUCUGGACUCCGACGUAGACAAGUUCAGGCCGGUGUGGGAUCAUCCAUGCAGCGCAUGCUUUGCUCCACUUUACACUUCCACACUCACUGACUCGUACAAAAAUAUCGCUCUACUGGUUCAGCCAAAUCGGCUGUUAGCCAUUGAUGCAAUUCCAACGUCGGGAUCAAAGCUUUUUUACAGUAUCGAUUCAGGCAACAUCCAUGGUAUCUUUCAAAUCAAUAGUGAAACAGGAGAGGUAACAGUUCUAAGCUCUGUAAUAGAGACCGGUUUCACCAGCGAUGCUCUUCGUCUUGUCAUAAGGGU